UACGUAGGUGGCAAGCGUUGUCCGGAUUUACUGGGUGUAAAGGGCGUGUAGCCGGGCUUACAAGUCAGAUGUGAAAUCCGGGGGCUCAACCCCCGAACUGCAUUUGAAACUGUAGGUCUUGAGUAUCGGAGAGGCAGGCGGAAUUCCUAGUGUAGCGGUGAAAUGCGUAGAUAUUAGGAGGAACACCAGUGGCGAAGGCGGCCUACUGGACGGUGACUGACGCUGAGGCUCGAAAGCGUGGGGAGCAAACAGG
rnacentral:rRNA from 1 species